CAGUAGCCACGGUAAUACGAACCGUGCGAACGUUAUUCGGGAUCACUGGGCUUAAAGCGCGUGUAGGCGGGCCGCCACGUCGGCUGCUGAAAUCCCCCGGCUCAACCGGGGAAGUGGCACCGAUACGAGCGGCCUGGAGGGGGGUAGGGGGGACUGGAACUUCCGGUGGAGCGGUGAAAUGCGUUGAGAUCGGAAGGAACGCCCGUGGCGAAAGCGAGUCCCUGGACCCUUACUGACGCUGAGACGCGAAAGCCAGGGGAGCGAACGGGAUUAGAUACCCGAGUAGUCCCUGUCUCUUAUA
rnacentral:rRNA from 1 species